rnacentral:lncRNA from 1 species
AUGUAUACAUAGCCUACAUGGCCGAUGAUACCAAAUCAUGUAAAUGUCAUUAUACAUUCAACUAUAAUUCCACUCAUUUAUGCAAGCUCACAAGACAAGAUUUAACUUCAUAUAUAAGCAUCACUUAAUUGGCCGAAAAAUACCAUUGGGAACAUACUUUAUCUUAGCUAAGUGAACUUGGCUGAAUCUACUUUGCUAAUUUCAACAUCACAUGAUUUCUUACUCAUAAGAUCAAAUGUAUAAAAUUCACUACAUUGUUUAUAUCCCGAAAUGAUGAGUAGUUAUCCAUGUACGAAUUCAAUAUAUCAUCACAUUGACAUUUAAUAAUUCACUUCAAUAGAUUAUUUCACAAGGCUGAAUAUACAAACCCUGUAUAAUCUCAUGUAUAUAUAUACAAUCGAAUACGCUUCAUUAUAAGUUCAUACCUAAUCACAUAUGCCAAAUCACUUUAAAAUUCACAUAUAACCAAUUAUACCAAAUGUUCAUUGACAAUCGAAUUCGUAUACAUAAUUAUUUCACAAAUAUACACAUUUUGACAAUAAAUAUCGAAACACAUACGUACAUUAUUUCAAAUAAUUAAUAAUCCAAUUUCUCCAAAUCUUUAGGGCUCGUUUACCGCAUUUGAUCUCACAUCGGUGUAUAGCCUUCUAGACUUAUAACUUAAUACAAUUCACCGGCUCAAGGCCUGCUAGACACAAAGCCCAAUUUUAUUCACUGGCACGAAGCCUACUAGGAUUAUAACCUAAAAUCUUACACUGAUACUAGGCCUACUAGACUCAAGGUCUGAUAUUUAAUCACCGGCAAUAGGCCUGCUAGGCAUAAAGCCCGAAUAAACUUAACAACACAAGACUUGCUAGGCUUUUAGCCUGAAUGAAUCCACCGACACAAGGCGUGCUAAGCUCAGAGCCCGAAUAUCUCAAUCACGUCUUACGCUACCGAUCAUUAACAGAACACUAUCAAAGUCUUUGAAUUAUCAUUUCCAACUCAAAAUCACAUCAGGCCAUCACAUUUAACUCAUCACAAUAUUAUUUACCCUUAUAAAUCACAUUCGGCAUUCACAUAGAAACAUAACAAAUAUCCUUCAAAUCAUAAGACACAUUCGACUUUCACAUUGAAACAUAGCAUAUAUAUUAUUCACAUUAUAAAUCAUAUUUGACAUCCUCAAUAUACAUUCAUUAAAACCAUUCAUCACUUUAGAUCACCUUCAACAUUCACUUUUACACCAUAAUAAUAUCAUUCACCUUACAAAAUCAUUCGGCAGUGGUAUAACAAUUUCUAACAAUUCAAUUCGGCACUUAUAUUUAACAUUUAUUUAAAUUUAGUACAUAACUUAGCUUAAGGACUUACCAAACUCAAUUUUUUUAGCAUGAAAUUAAUUUGCUCCCUUAAUGCUCAAUAACUGAUUUCGCACACUUAGUGCACAGAAAUUAAUUCAUACACAUAGUGCUUAAAUCCAACUCGCACACUUAGUGCUCAGUAUCAAAUUCACACACUUAGUGCAUCCCUCAAACUUAUUACUCAUUUAUACAUAUACACAAUAAGCUUAAACAUCAACCACAUAUUAACUUAUUCAUCUCCCUAUUCAAUAUCUCAUUCGGAUAUAUUAAACUCACAUAUAUAUAUGUACACAUCUCAAUCGGCUAUAUCAAACUACACCUAGAUACAUAUUCGGUUUCACGCAUAUAUAGACAUUCAACUUUAUCCAACUACACAUAUAUACACACUUAGUUAUGUCAAAACAUACAUAUAUAUCAUAUUCAACUAUACCAAUCCAAGUAUCUAUCACAUUCGAUUAUAAGACAUUCACCUAAAUAUCACAUUCGACUAUAAUAAUAGCAUUUAUAUAUAUAUACUUUCAAUAAAUUCAUAAACCUCAUUUAACGAUAAAUUCAAUUUGACUUAAUUGCUUAAAAACUUACCUCGGGUAUUAACUUUUGAUAAAAACGAUUACUCGACUAGCUUCGACUUCCCCGGAUCCAAAUCAGCUCUCUUUUGAUCAUGAGCUAGUUAAAAGAAAUUUAAACUUAUUUAAUUAAUUAACCAUUUUAUUUUCACUCAAAAAUCAUAUAAUAUAAUAAUUUAAAUAAUACCCCUUUUAAAAUUAGGCUUUGACAUUUCUGUUCAAGCAUCCUUAAUACAUCAAAAUAAUUAAAUUCUUCCCAUGGCACACUAAAACCGAAUAUGUCUUAUUCAAAUAUCAAUUCUCAUAUUUCAUUUAUUUAACCAUUUAACCCUCCUAUUAAAAAAUUUUCACAAAUUAAUCUUAAACUCAAAAUCACAUAAAAUCGUAACACAAAAGGCAUUCAUCUAACAUUUGAUUUUUAAUUUCUAACAUCAAACUCAAAUUUCUUAGCUUAUCAACUCAUGGUCGAACAUCAAUUAUUCACCAAAACAAAAAUUAACUCAUGGGUUUUAGAGAAAAUUAAGCAAGGAAUUCAAUGAUACUAAAAAUUAACAAAAACAACAUGAAUUUUACCUUGAAUUUUUGCUUUCAAAUGGCCGAAACUUCAAAGCCACAAAUUUUAUUUUCUUUCUCCUUUGUUCGGCGUCCAAGAUGAACUACAUGCAUGUUCUUUUUUUUUUUUAUGCUUUGUUUUAUUAAAACUUCACUUAAUAAUAAUUUACUAGUUUAACCUUUGAAAAGAAUAACAUAGCUUUAUUUUUUUAUGUCCCAUGCCGUCCAUAUCAAUUGUCUAAGGUUGAAUAUCAUCACAAAUACUCCAACUUACAAAAACAACUUCAAUUAAGCCCUAAAGAUACAAACAUGCAUGGCUUUCCAUUUUUUGUUUUAUAAUACUUAUAAAAUAAUUAUCUCACAAAUAACUUUAAAAUAAACAUAUAAAGACAUCAUGCAUUAAGCCAUUAAUGUCCAUAUAUUUAUUAAUGAUAUAAUUACCAUUCAAAACCUCAAUAUUUUAAAGACAUAACACUUAACAUUUUCAUGAUAGCAUGAUUAUUAAUCAAUUGAUGCAAUUUAAUCCUUUUUAAUAAUCAAGCACUCAAAUCAUUGAAUCUAAACACGAAAAUUUAGCACACCUAAAUUCAUACAUUCAAAACAUAGAAAAUGAUAUUUAAAUAUUUUUCUGACUCUGAUUCGUGAUCUCAAAACCACCGUUCCGAUUAGGGUCAAAUUCGGGCUGUUACAAGUAAGGCGACUGGUAAGGGGCCAUUAUAUUGAAGAGAAUCCUAAGGGAAUAUAGAAGCUGCUCGGGUCAAUGUGUUUAUUUUGAUAAAUCUAUGGUGUUCUUUAGCAAAAACAUGACAGAGGAGGCCAAAGAAGCGGUUGUAAGCAUUUUGGGGGUUCAAAGUUCAAAUGACACAGAGCGUUAUCUCGAUUUGCCGAACUUGGUAAGAAGAAAGAAGAAUGAGUCGUUCCAGAAUCUAAAAGAGGAUAAAGAAGCAGAUUGACAAUUGGAGUACUAGGCACCUCUCUCAAGGGGGAAAGGAAGUAUUUAUCAAGGUUAUUCUUCAAGCCAUCCCCACCUAUUCAAUGGCCUUUUUUUUACUACCGAAAUCGUUAUGUUUGGAGUUAAAAAGCAUCAUAGCUAAUUUUUUGUGACAAAAAAGUCAUCGCAAAAGGGGAAUUCAUUGGAGUACGUGGAGAAAUCUUUGGUCUUUUAAAGGAGGAAGGGGGUAUCAAAUUUCGUAAUCUUUGCCAAUUUAAUAUUGCACUUUUAGCUAAGCAAGGAUGGCGACUUCUUUUGUAUUCAUUAUUAGCGAGGGUUCUCAAAGUUAAAUAUUUUUCAGAUUUUCUUAAUGCUCGAUUAGGUAACCUACCUUCGCUUACCUGGAAAAGUGUUUGGGUUGCUAAGCGUUUGCUACAGGACGGGAUGUGCUGGAGAGUUGGCCGAGGAAAUAGAAUAUCAGUAUGGGAUGAUUGUUGGAUCCCGAGAUUUUGAUCCAAGCGAAUGGGGCUAUAGAAAUGACAAUGAUGUUAAGUUAGUUUCAUAUUUAAUUCAAGACACAGACAGAACAUGGAAGACUGACUUAAUUAUAGUACCUUCCAAGCAGAUGUUGCUCAAAAAAUUUCGCAGAUCCCUCUAACAGAAACACCUCAUGAGGAUUUUCGAGUAUGGAAAGAACAAUCUGGUGAACUUUCAUUGAGGAGCGCCUACAAACUAUUUAAAGAUGCUUGCUUGGAUCCUAAUUUUUAUUUAAUACAAGCCGAUCUAAAAGAUUUCUACAAUAAUCUAUGGAAUCUACAACUACCUUCCAAGAUUGCAAUUACAACAUGGAGAAUAUCAUGGAACUAGAUCCCAACUCUUGUUAAUUUAAAAUUCAAACGGGUUACUAAUAACGCGGUAUGUCCUCGUUGUGGAAGAGAGGAAGAAGACAUCACCCACAUCUUUCGACAAUGUCCUGUUAGAGUUGAAGUAUGGCAAUUGUUAGACCUGUCUUGGAUUAGUGAGAGUACGAUUCAGGGAUUCUGGGAGUGGAUUACCUAGGUUUUCAGAUUGAGUACGUCUGAGCAGUGCAAGAUAUUCUAUUGCGGUAUGUGGUUUAUUUGGAGCUUAAGGAAUAAAUUUAUACAUGAACAGAAAGCAGAGACAGGGAGGGAGUUAACACUCAAAGUUCAAAAGUACAUAGCCAAACUUGAAGGGUUGCGGGAAAGAGCAAGUACCUUAAAUACGAGUAGCAGUUACAGGCAUCAGGAGGUUUAUACCAAAGUGACGAUUCAGUUCGAUGCAACUUUUGAUAAAAGGAACUCUAAAUAGGCAUCGAGACUGGCGGUUUGGGGCUGGUCAGGGAGACUUAUGGCUAUGAAGACUCAGCUACACAGGAAUGUCCCGUUUCCAUUUGCUGCAGAAGCUUUUGCAGGUCUACAGGCGUUAAAACUAGGAAUUGCAAUGGAUUUUCCCUCAGUAACGAUCAUGGGGGAUUCUCGCACAAUCAUCAAGAAAUGUCAAGCCAUGAAGAACGAUAAAUCAGUCAUAGGGGCGAUUAUUAAAGACAUCCAUAGUAAGAUGACUAGUUUUGAAUAUAUUAGCUUCCAGUUUAUAAACAGAACAGAAAAUGCUUUUGCCCAUAAGAUUGCAGAAGAAGCUUUAAAGAAAGAGAAAGAAACAUACCUGGUGAGAGAGAGUGACGAUUUUCCGGAAGGGCGGUGGAGAAGAGAUCCAGAUUGAAAAGUGCAGUGUGAAUGAGGAAAUGAUAUGGGUAACAUGUAAAGAAAAAUAUGGAACGGCUACCAUCUGAACAGAAGGGAUAGACGAUGGGACAAGACUAUGGAAAGAUACGUCCAGCUGUUGUUGAUUCGACUAGUAUUAAUGACUUUAGGUGUCCUUUUUGCAGCAUUUAUUGUUGUCUUUUAAAGUUGUUU